AGGACACAGGGUGAAGCUGGCCAUGUAUGGACCAGGAAGUAGGAACUCACCAGACAGUAAAUCGGCUGGCACCUUGAUCUUGGACUUCCCAGCCUCCAGAACUGUCUUGGUCCGACACCAAAACUUGAAAAGAACCCUCUGGCUUCAGAAUUUGAUUCCUGAAGUUGCCAAUAGCCAUUCCUGGUUCUGAUCAUGGUAAUCACCUCCCAUUGAACUUGGCUGUCCGGUGACUCACUCACAACCCACAGAAUGAGCCAGAACUGACCCCAAAGGACUUUGAAAGUCAAAUUAGAAAAAGCCUU